rnacentral:lncRNA from 1 species
GCCAGGGUCCUUCCCUCGAGAACAUAUACGCGGUCCUCCUGCCCUCAUCGCCCAACCACCUUUUAGCCAAUUAGGGGCCGUAUUUGCCUAGGGUCCAUUACCGCGGGUGGGGGAUGUCCGCCGCGGAGGGAGCUUUGAUUCACCGGCAUUGAGGCUCCGGUGCUUGCCUGGGGAUACGCUCUGGGAGUCGGGGAACACUCUGGUGUGGGUCACUAGGCAGGCGACCAUCUCGUGGCUGUGAAUUUCUCACCGGAGCUUCGGGAAUCGACGUGGAAUCGCCUCACCGCGCGAGCAGGGGAAUCUUCACCGCGAAUCCAGGUAAACGGAGCACCAUUCAUUUCGAGAUUCACUGGGCGUCGUGUAGAGAGACUCGGAUUAAGGUUUUGGUGACCAACGUGCGGAAUGGUGCGCAGUCCGGUCGUGCGCCGCCAUGCUUCAGGCGGCGCCGCCGUGGGUGUUCCGCGCGCAGGAAGAAAUGCGAUCCGAUGGGUGUCUCGGCCCUCAGAUCAUGAUCGGGUGGUCCUGGUUGGAUCACGUUUCAUUAAAACCCAACCGUUAGAUGUCGAUCGGGUGGCCCAUGUGGCGUAACCGUUCGGGUGGGAGUGGAUCUAAUCCGUGCCUUUGGAUUUUGAUCCAACGGCCCAGAUAUCGCGAUACCCUUUCGCCCUGGCGUUUUGCUUAAGAGACCCUAGGUUCCUUUGAAAUAGAACCCGCCAUCCACUUGCACUGUGCUCUGGGUCUCUGGAUUUUUACCCCGAGCCCCCUGUGCUUCACAGAAAUUGAGGCCCAGUCCAGGGACUGUUUAAAUGGAAUAAAUGAAAUAGAAAAUGGAUUUUUAUUAUGAAAAUAACUACUAGAACUUAAUAAAUUCAUAGAAAAUUCAUACUAACUCCAAAUCACUCCAUUCCAGUUCCUAAAAUUUUGUAAUAUUAUUAUCUAUCAUCUAGAGUCUCUGUUUUGUCAUGAAAACAGUAAGAAAUUUAUUUCUCACUUAAUCCUAUUUAAAGCACAUAAAACCUUUGAAAAUCCAUAACUUAAAUUCUAUAACUCCAAAAAUUAUGAUUCCUGUUCCUAGAAUUUUAUUUUAAUGUGUAGAUUAUUUCUGUGUAUUUUGUUUAUAUGUUUGGUGUAAUGUUAAUUUCUCUACAUGCACUGUGCUUGUUUGUAUUGUGGCGAGUAGAAGAGCCCGUGACCGAGGAUCCUGGUGAGCAGCAGGUUGAAGUAGCUGAGCAGGAGCUCAUUGAAGG